UUAAGGUUAAGUGAUUUUAACACUUUUUUGUUGCUUUGAAGGCAACUGGUUUAGUUAACCUAAACCUUA
rnacentral:tRNA from 1 species